rnacentral:rRNA from 1 species
UACGUAGGGUGCAGGCGUUAAUCGGAAUUACUGGGCGUAAGGCGUGCGCAGGCGGUUUCUUAAGUCAGAUGUGAAAGCCCCGGGCUUAACCGGGGAACUGCGUCUGAUACUGGAUGGCUUGAGUUCGGGAGAGGGAUGCGGAAUUCCAGGUGUAGCGGUGAAAUGCGUAGAUAUCUGGAGGAACACCGGUGGCGAAGGCGGCAUCCUGGACCGACACUGACACUGAGGAGCGAAAGCCAGGGGAGCAAACGGG